rnacentral:lncRNA from 1 species
UAAUCCUUCCACUGCGUCAUCGAAACCCAACAAGAAUUAGCUAAAAGUAUCUGUAGCACUUUAGGCUAGGCCAUAUUGGAGAGGACAGACUCAACAAACUAGAGAAAGAUGAUCUUCUCGGACUAUUGACUUUCGAGUCUUAUUUGGUUUGUGAAUCGUGUCUUCAAGAAAAAAUGGCCAAACUACUCUUUGUGGGAUAAAGGAAAAGGGGCACUG